CAACUUUUUUUUAAAAGUAUUAAAUUUAAGACAUUGAUCGAUCAUCGAGCCAAACGACAAGAUUGUCAGUUAUGGGAAGUCUCAAGAUCUUCAUUUAUCUAGUAUAAUUUCCCAAGUCUAUAUUGAAAAUGACUCCCUUGAAAAGAAAAUUUGUUUUAAAAAUGCUUUCUAUUAUGAAUAUUAGGAUCAAGAUAGAUUUUGCAAUAUACAAUCUAUUGAACAAUCAUAGAUGUAUAAUAAACGCACCUUUAUUUUCACUAUAGACACUGAUAUUGAUAAGAGUCAUUAUCUGUUUCUUGGAUUUGGCCUUGUCAAUAAUUCUAUAUUCACAAAUGCAAAAAUAUAAACUUUUUUGAGAAUUCUAUAUUCAUAAAUGCUAAAAUAUAAACUUUCUUUUCUAAAGAUCAGAUUAUCUAGACCAAAAUAUGUGGGUUUAGAUGUAGCACACACAUGAUGGAAGACUUGGAAUAAAUUAAUUAUUGAUAACGGCUGAUUAGAUGCUAACAUUCUCCAUAUUAAAUUUUUCUUCCUUUUGUCACUGUGUCCUAAAUUAACCCUUCAUGUUAGUAAAAUUAUUUAAAACAUGAAGAAGAUGAUGCAUGUAAUCAAUGCAGGUACGGAAAUAUAAGCAUAUUGAUUUCAAACUCAUUUCCUAAUAAUAAAUAAAUUUAGGAGUAAAGUUAUGUUUUCAUUUUCCCACAUUGAGGAGGUAAUGGGUUAUAGAGUCCAAUGCCUUUUAUUUUCUCUUGAUAAACCAUAUACAGAAAAACCACUAUAUUUUUAGUCAUUUUCUCUGUUCAACAUGCUUUUCUUUAUUUUAUUAUUACAUCAUCCUACUUUCAUUUAUUCCAGUUAUAGCAUUAUACUUUGAAAAAAUAUACCCAAUUAUAUGUGGCUACGACGGCCUGAUAAGAAAAGUCGAAAGUACAAUGCUAUAGCUGGGUGGAUUUUCAAAGUACCUUUAUGGUAGUCUUGGGUCAUUUAUUAAAGUCUAAAAUUAUAGAAAUAACAUUUUACUUUCACUGAUAUGAUUAUAAGAGCAUCUUACUUUCAUUUUUUCCUAUUAAAGCAUUGUAAUUUAAGUAACUCACCCAUUUAUUGCAAUUUCAUUCAAAUACAAAGGAUUUCCGUUACUGCAAUAUAAAGAAAUGAAAGUAGGAUGCUAUAAUAAACGAAUAAAUGGAAAUGCGUUGUUAUUUCUUU
rnacentral:lncRNA from 1 species